UGUUGAGGAAAUUUCUGCAGUUUUAAGCAGUCGUAUUUGUGAUUGAAGCUAAGUACAUUUUGCUGUGUAUUUUUAGGUAAAAUGCUUUUUGUUCAUUUCUGGUGGUGGGAGGGGACUGAAGCCUUUAGUCUUUUCCAGAUGCAACCUUAAAAUCAGUGACAAGAAACAAAAUUCAAACAAGCAACAGUCUUCAAGAAAUUAAACUGGCAAGUGGAAAUGUUUAACAGUUCAGCGAUCUUUAGUGCAUUGUUUUUGUGUGGGUUUCUCUCUCCCCUCCCUUGGUCUUAAUUCUUACAUGCAGGAACACUCAGCAGACACACGUAUGCGAAGGGCCAGAGAAGCCAGACCCAGUAAGAAAAAAUAGCCUAUUUACUUUAAAUAAACAAACCAAACAUUCCAUUUUAAAUGUGGGGAUUGGGAACCACUAGUUCUUUCAGAUGGUAUUCUUCAAACUGUAGAAGGAGCUUCCAGUUGAAUUCACCAGUGGACAAAAUGAGGACAACAGGUAAUACCCUGAAACUGGUGUUUUGAGAAGCCCUACUGCUGAAAACUUAACAAUUUUAUGUAAUAAAAAUGGAGAAGCUCUAA
rnacentral:lncRNA from 1 species